GGUCCCUUAGCCCAACGGCAGAGGCAAUACGCUUAGAACGUAUUCAGGUAUCGGUUCAAAUCCGAUAGGGACUA
rnacentral:tRNA from 1 species